CUUACCUGGGGAGAUCUCCUGCUUUGUUGAGUAGGAGAAGUCAGCCGAGAUCAUAGUACCCGAAAGGGGAAGGAU
rnacentral:ncRNA from 1 species